UGGGUUGCUAGCUCAGCUGGUAGAGCAACUGACUCUUAAUCAGUGGGUCCCGGGUUCGAGUCCCGGGCAACCCAA
rnacentral:tRNA from 1 species